rnacentral:rRNA from 1 species
UACAGAGGGUGCGAGCGUUAAUCGGAAUUACUGGGCGUAAAGCGUGCGUAGACGGUUUCGUAAGUCGGGUGUGAAAUCCCCGGGCUUAACCUGGGAACUGCGCUUGUUACUGGCAGGCUUGAGUGUGGCAGAGGGGGGUGGAAUUCCACGUGUAGCAGUGAAAUGCGUAGAGAUGUGGAGGAACACCGAUGGCGAAGGCAGCCCCCUGGGCUAACACUGACGCUCAUGCACGAAAGCGUGGGGAGCAAACAGG